AUUGAACGCUGGCGGCAUGCCUAACACAUGCAAGUCGAGCGAGCGGCGGACGGGUGAGUAAUGUAUGGGAAACUUCCCCAUGGAGGGGGAUAACUACUGGAAACGGUAGCUAAUACCGCAUACCAUCGUAUAGGCCCAGAUGGGAUUAGCUCGUAGGUGGGGUAACGGCGGACCUAGGCGACGAUCCCUAGCUGGGUUGAGAGGAUGAGCAGCCAAACUGGAACUGAGACACGGUCCAGACGCCUACGGGAGGCAGCAGUGGGGAAUAUUGCACAAUGGGCGAAAGCGUGAUGGAGCCAUGCCGCGUGUCUGAAGAAGGCCUUCGGGUUGUAAAGCACUUUCAGCGGUGAGGCGUUACCCGCAGAAGAAGCACCGGCUAACUCCGUGCCAGCAGCCGCGGUAAUAC
rnacentral:rRNA from 1 species